UUCGGUUAAGUCCGCUAACGAGCGCCAACCCUCGCUGUGUGUUAUAUGUGUCACACGGGACUGCCGGUCUUAAGCGGAGGAAGGUGGGGAUGAUGUCAAGUCAGCAUGGCCUUUAUAUCCUGGGCUACACACACGCUACAAUGGCCAACACAAUAGGUUGCUAAGCCGCGAGGUGGCGCCAAUCCAUAAAGUUGGUCUCAGUUCAGAUUGUAGGCUGCAACCCGCCUGCAUGAAGAUGGAGUUGCUAGUAACCGCAGGUCAGCUAUACUGCGGUGAAUACCGUUCCCGGGGCUU
rnacentral:rRNA from 1 species